GGUGGCUCACUGGUAGAGCACUUGCCUUGCAUGCAUGAGGCCUUGGGUUCGAUUCCUCAGCACCA
rnacentral:tRNA from 1 species